UGGGGAAUAUUGCACAAUGGGCGCAAGCCUGAUGCAGCCAUGCCGCGUGUGUGAAGAAGGCCUUCGGGUUGUAAAGCACUUUCAGCGGGGAGGAAGGCGUUAAGGUUAAUAACCUUGGCGAUUGACGUUACCCGCAGAAGAAGCACCGGCUAACUCCGUGCCAGCAGCCGCUGUAAUACGGAGGGUGCAAGCGUUAAUCGGAAUUACUGGGCGUAAAGCGCACGCAGGCGGUCUGUCAAGUCGGAUGUGAAAUCCCCGGGCUCAACCUGGGAACUGCAUUCGAAACUGGCAGGCUAGAGUCUUGUAGAGGGGGGUAGAAUUCCAGGUGUAGCGGUGAAAUGCGUAGAGAUCUGGAGGAAUACCGGUGGCGAAGGCGGCCCCCUGGACAAAGACUGACGCUCAGGUGCGAAAGCGUGGGGAGCAAACAGG
rnacentral:rRNA from 1 species